rnacentral:pre_miRNA from 1 species
CGGGGGAGGCCGGAUCCCGGCUGUGUCCUGGCGCCCUGUGCUCCGGGGCCUGCGCUGUUGGAUUCGCGCUCCCGCCCCGCAGCCCCCU